rnacentral:rRNA from 1 species
AGUGAACGCUGGCGGCAUGCCUUACACAUGCAAGUCGAACGGCAGCACGGGUGCUUGCACCUGGUGGCGAGUGGCGAACGGGGGAGUAAUACAUCGGAACGUACCUUAUCGUGGGGGAUAACGCAGCGAAAGCUGUGCUAAUACCGCAUACGCCCUGGGGGGGAAAGCGUGGGAUCGAAAGACCUCGCGCGCUUAGGGCGGCCGAUGCCUGAUUAGCUUGUUGGUGGGGUAAAAGCCCACCAAGGCGACGAUCAGUAGCCGGGCUGAGAGGACGAUCAGCCACACUGGGACUGAGACACGGCCCAGCCUCCUACGGGAGGCAGCAGUGGGGAAUUUUGGACAAUGGGGGAAACCCUGAUCCAGCAAUGCCGCGUGUGAAGAAGGCCUUCGGGUUGUAAAGCACUUUUGUCAGGAACGAAACGGUGGGGGCUAAUACCUCCUGCUACUGACGGUACCUGAAGAAUAAGCACCGGCUAACUACGUGCCAGCAGCCGCCGUAA